AUUGAACGCUGGCGGCAUGCUUUACACAUGCAAGUCGAACGGCAGCGCGGGCUUCGGCCUGGCGGCGAGUGGCGAACGGGUGAGUAAUGCAUCGGAACGUGCCCAGUAGUGGGGGAUAGCCCGGCGAAAGCCGGAUUAAUACCGCAUACGACCCGAGGGUGAAAGCGGGGGACCGAAAGGCCUCGCGCUAUUGGAGCGGCCGAUGUCGGAUUAGCUAGUUGGUGGGGUAAAGGCUUACCAAGGCGACGAUCCGAAGCUGGUCUGAGAGGACGACCAGCCACAUUGGGACUGGGACACGGCCCAGACCCCUAGGGAAGGCAGAGGUGGGAAAUUUUGGACAUUGGGGCAACCCUGAUCCAGCCAUGCCGCGUGCGGGAAGAAGGCCUUCGGGUUGUAAACCGCUUUUGUUCGGGAAGAAAUCCUCUGGGCUAAUACCCCGGGGGGAUGACGGUACCGGAAGAAUAAGCACCGGCUAACUACGUG
rnacentral:rRNA from 1 species